CCUCAAUGCAAUAUUUUUGGAUACGCUUUUCAAAUAAACACAAUCUGUUGUAAAAACUUUUCAAAAGUAUCUACAAAAAUCCCCAUAGACUUUAAUGGUAACUUCUGUAGAUAAAUCCUUUGAACAGUUUUUCUAACAGAUUGUGAUCAUUUGAAAAGCGUAUCCAAAAAUAUAUAAUCGAGG